AUUCAAAUGACGAGUCCCAAAUAAGACGAAAUACUUAUCCUAAGU
rnacentral:hammerhead_ribozyme from 1 species